rnacentral:misc_RNA from 1 species
CAGCCCAUUUGCCCUCGCACCGCACCCUCUCCAGACCACCAAUGUCCGCCUACCACAGCAGCAACCCUGUCGAGGCCCGCCGCGCCGAGUGCGCGCGCCUGCAGGCCAAGUACCCCGGCCACGUCGCCGUGGUUGUCGAGGCGGCCGAAAAGGCCGGCAGCAAGGCGCACUUCCUCGCGCUGCCGCGCGACGCCACCGUCGCCGAGCUCGAGGCGGCCGUGCGCCAGGCGCUCAGCACCAGCGUCAAGAAGGUGACGCUCGCCAUCGAGGGCUCCGCCCCGGCGGUGACCGCCGCGGUCGGCGACAUCGCCGACGCCUGCAAGCGGGACGACGGCUUCCUGUACGUGAGCGUGCGCACCGAGCAGGCCAUGGGCGCCUUUGCGAGUCCGUGCUUGAGCGUGGCUUAGAUGCUUGGCCCCUCCCAAUGAGAGCGGUGCUGGUGCGGUCGGCAAGAGCGAGGCGGAUCUCAUUCAUGCUGUCUUCUCCCCAUGUUGUCGCGCCCUUCUCGCACUUCUCUCUGCCGCGACCCCGAGUUUUCGUACCUCCCUCUCGCAGCCUCUCUGCUGAUGCUCUCGAUCUUCCAUUCGUUAGUGAUACUCCGCCUGUUGCCUCGGUUCAGCCGACUACACACAUUCUGCGUAUCCCGGGAAUACUGCUGCCGUGGAUGGCGCGUGUUUGCUUUUCCUUUCAUUGACCCAUUUCGUGAGCGGUGUGUGCUUGCAUUUGUGUGUACACAAAUGUGGACACUCCUGUCGGCGACCUCUGCUUCUCCGCCUUCCGUUCUCGCGUCCUGCGUUGCCGGUGACCCUCCCUUCUCCUGUAGCGACGAGCACACUUUUCUGUGACUGUCGAUGAUCUCAACCCUGUGCUCUAGCCCCCACAUAAAGACUGCCGUCGCUGUGCGUCUGUAUGUAGCGUGUGUCGCUACGAGAGUGUGGAUGCGGAGGCGGGUGGCGUCACCACACUCCACCGCAUGUUUUUCCCUGUUUUCUCUCUUUCUGUUUUUACGCCAUGGGUGGGCCGUAACGUCGUCUUCGGUACUUCUUUUACCCAGCGACCUCCGUAGGUGAGAGUGGCACCUGGGACCGUGGCCUGCGAGAUGAGUGGCGGCGUUACCUCAUCCCGUUCUUGAAGCCCGCGCCCGUGGCCGGUGCGGCAUGAGGAGUACACCCACGCGAUGCUCGUUGUCCUUUUUCUGUGCCCGCUCUCACUUCCCUGCGCGUUCUCUUGUUUAGGCUCGCAGUCGAGUGUGACUCCAUUCUUGUCUUUUGUGUUUUGCCUGCGUUGGCGAUCUCCCGGUCCUUUCCACGGAGACCAGCGAGAGACAGGGGCAGGGGGAAAUCCGGCGGUGAGGCUCUUCGGUAGCCUCGCCGUCCUCUCCCCUGCUCCCGCUUCCUCCUCUGCCCUGUCUCCCGCAUCUCCGCUCCCUC